GGGGGCCAAGGCGGGAGUUUUUCCGUUUACUGGUGAAGGCCAUCUUUCAGGACAGUGGUGCUUUUGAAGCUACACCAAAUGGAUGCACACUGAAAUUUAACAUCCUACACUUGCAAAAUGGAGUAUAUCGAACCAUUGGCAGGAUGUUGUCCACGAUAAUAGUGCAAGGUGGAGAAGCACCAGCCUUUCUCUCUCCACAUGUAGUAGACUACGUUGUGUCAGGAGACAUUCUUCAAGUACACCUAACACCAGAUGAUAUAGGUGACCCUGAGUUAAGAGAGAAUCUGAAAAAGAGAGAACCCCAGUUUGCGUGUUCUGCUUGACCUAUCGGGGGAGGACAAAGAUCUGACAGCCAGUUUAAUUGCUGGGGUUCUCAGGCCAAGCUAUUCUGUCCUUGGGAGCAACAGAAGAGUUUGAGAGGAACUGAUGGUGGUCAAAUUUCGGGAAUUUCUCCAGUGUGUCGAAAAUAAAGAGCUGAGAGAUGCACUUGGAGAAAGGACUCUUACCAAGGAUGAAGAGGCAUUUGUGAAGGCUUUGAGGCCUGGUCACAUCUUGGCUUUUGCCACCGGGAGCAGCAAGGUUCCAGCCAUAGGUUUUCAACCAGCUCCUAAAAUAACAUUCAUUCACGAUGAAAGCAAACAUCUCCCGAUUGCACACACAUGUGCAAAUGAGCUUCAGCUUUUUGUGAAUGAAACAACAAUGGCUGAUGAUGAUGCUUUUCAUUACUGCUUCUUAGUAGCACUCAUGAAUGGAGCUUUAUUCAGCACCAUCUAAACAUGUUCCAAAAAAGUGAAAUUAAAAUGGUGGGUUUGUUAACUCUAAUCCUGUUCAUUAAUUGUAGUUUCAAGUAACUUUGCUUCAUACA